UGGUUCUGGCAUCGAUGAAGAACGCAGCGAAAUGCGAUAAGUAGUGUGAAUUGCAGAAUUCAGUGAAUCAUCGAAUCUUUGAACGCACAUUGCGCCCCUUGGUAUUCCAUGGGGCAUGCCUGUUCGAGCGUCAUUUGUACCCUCAAGCUAUGCUUGGUGUUGGGUGUUUGUCUCUUCUUUGUGACGAGACUCGCCUUAAAAUAAUUGGCAGCCAGUGUUUUGGUUUUGAAGCGCAGCACAAGUCGCGAUUCAAGCCUAUAGCACCCGUUCCCAGAAAGCUCUCUUAUCACUUUUGACCUCGGAUCAGGUAGGGAUACCCGCUGA
rnacentral:misc_RNA from 1 species